rnacentral:rRNA from 1 species
UAACACGUAAAGAACCUGCCCCAUAGACUGGGACAACUAUUGGAAACGAUAGCUAAUACCGGAUAACAGCAUUAACUGCAUGGUUGAUGUUUAAAAGUUGGUUUUGCUAACACUAUGAGAUGGCUUUGCGGUGCAUUAGCUAGUUGGUGGGGUAAAGGCCUACCAAGGCGACGAUGCAUAGCCGACCUGAGAGGGUGAUCGGCCACACUGGGACUGAGACACGGCCCAG